rnacentral:rRNA from 1 species
CCUACGGGUGGCUGCAGUCGAGAAUCAUUCACAAUGGGGGAAACCCUGAUGGUGCGACGCCGCGUGGGGGAAUGAAGGUCUUCGGAUUGUAAACCCCUGUCAUGUGGGAGCAAAUUAAAAAGAUAGUACCACAAGAGGAAGAGACGGCUAACUCUGUGCCAGCAGCCGCGGUAAUACAGAGGUCUCAAGCGUUGUUCGGAAUCACUGGGCGUAAAGCGUGCGUAGGCUGUUUCGUAAGUCGUGUGUGAAAGGCGCGGGCUCAACCCGCGGACGGCACAUGCAACUGCGGGACUAGAGUGAUGGAGAGGGAACCGGAAUUCUCGGUGUAGCAGUGAAAUGCGUAGAUAUCGAGAGGAACACUCGUGGCGAAGGCGGGUUCCUGGACAUUAACUGACGCUGAGGCACGAAGGCCAGGGGAGCGAAAGGGAUUAGAUACCCUUGUAGUC